GACGAACGCUGGCGGCGUGCUUAACACAUGCAAGUCGUACGGUAAGGCCCUGUCGGGGGUCCACGAGUGGCGAACGGGUGAGUAACACGUGAGUAACCUGCCCACAACUUUGGGAUAACGCUAGGAAACUGGUGCUAAUACUGGAUAUGUGCUCCUGCUGCAUGGUGGGGGUUGGAAAGCUCCGGCGGUUGUGGAUGGACUCGCGGCCUAUCAGCUUGUUGGUGGGGUAGUGGCCUACCAAGGCGGCGACGGGUAGCCGGCCUGAGAGGGUGACCGGCCACAGUGGGACUGAGAUACGGCCCAGACUCCUACGGGAGGCAGCAGUGGGGAAUAUUGCACAAUGGGCGCAAGCCUGAUGCAGCAACGCCGCGUGCGGGAUGACGGCCCUCGGGUUGUAAACCGCUUUCAGCAGGGACGAAGCUUUUUGUGGCGGUACCUGCAGAAGAAGCACCGGCUAACUACGUG
rnacentral:rRNA from 1 species